rnacentral:tRNA from 1 species
GUGCCCGUAGCUCAAUGGAUAGAGCGGUAGAUUCCGGAUCUACAAGUUGAAGGUUCGAAUCCUUUCGGGCACA